GUGAGCAUUUUUAAAUGAAGUAAAAUCUUACUGACCUUGAAGGAGGAAAUUUCUUUUCCUUCUAAUUAUCCGUUGUGAGCAGAGAAUGCCUAGGGAGAAUCAAGGAGCCAGAUAUUUUUUUUUCUUCUUGUUUUUCAUGUGUCCAAUGAUAUGCAUUGCAGAGUACAUAUUUUGCGUUAUACCGAAAGGAGGCCACAGUGUACACUGUUAGCACCAAAUUUGACAAGAGCAGACAGGGCCUGCCCUUUGGUGGACAAGGACACAAUUCUGAAUCCUCUGAAUGAGGCAUUUUUAUCUUUUACUUUUCUUCCUAAACGUAGCAUUUGUCCUUACUGACUGUGGAAUGGUGCACCUUAGAGUAAAUGAAGAUGUCUCCUCUUUCUUCUUGCAAAAUGAAGAAAAUAUGUCUCAGACUAGUAGUAUUCAUGAUUCCUUUUGUGUAAGUUUUAGCUUUACUGAAAAAGGAAGAAAAAUCAUGGGCAUGAGCAGCUUCAGUGUUUGAGACAACUAUGAAACAGAUUGGGAAGAAAUUUUCCUACAUGAGAACUGCACCGUGUAUGACUUCAUGGGAUGAAGACCUUGGAUGGGAAAAUUAC